ACAUGCCUAUAGCAUAACAUUAAUGCAUCAGAUCCCACUAAAACUCCUCAUUUAAGCAUGCUCAUGCUAGAGUAGUACUGGGAUGGGUGACCACUCAGGAAGUCCUAGUGUUUUACAUGCC
rfam:Picea glauca, whole genome shotgun sequence.